UGGGGAAUAUUGCGCAAUGGGCGAAAGCCUGACGCAGCGACGCCGCGUGAGGGAUGAAGGUUUUCGGAUCGUAAACCUCUGUCAGAAGGGAAGAAACCGCACUGUGCUAAUCAGCAGUGCCUUGACGGUACCUUCAAAGGAAGCACCGGCUAACUCCGUGCCAGCAGCCGCGGUAAUACGGAGGGUGCAAGCGUUAAUCGGAAUUACAGGGCGUAAAGCGCACGUAGGCUGCUUUGUAAGUCAGGGGUGAAAUCCCACGGCUCAACCGUGGAACUGCCUUUGAUACUGCUUAGCUUGAAUCCGGGAGAGGGUGGCGGAAUUCCAGGUGUAGGAGUGAAAUCCGUAGAUAUCUGGAGGAACAUCAGUGGCGAAGGCGGCCACCUGGACCGGUAUUGACGCUGAGGUGCGAAAGCGUGGGGAGCAAACAGG
rnacentral:rRNA from 1 species